GUUGUCAUUCUCACUGCUGGUGGUACAGGACAAUCAACAGCAGCAUUCACAGUGACAUUUGGUGAUGGACAACCUACAGCCGAUGUUACCAGUUACUUACCUGUAUGUAUUGUGACCAGUGGAUCAGGAUCAUUCAUUCGACUAGAGAAGACUGAUGGUAGUCUAGUCUUGGGUGAGACAGGUACUUUCUCAGGAUUUGCUGGUGUACCAGUGAACGCCACAGCACAUCCUAUACUGGACACUUCAUACACUGGACUGUACCAUUGCAGAACAGUGGAUCACAACUCUACACAGACAUAUCAACUCAACAUUGUAGCUCAACAAGUUCGGUCUGGAAUAUCACCUACAUCACUGACAUUGCCCUACUCUGGUGUUUCGUACACCAUUCCAUGCAGGUCAAGUGGAAACUUUCCUCUCAACGUGUCUUGGAGCUCAACAUUAUCUCUGGACUCAAAGAAGAUACAGACGGUGACACAUACGAAUAUGGUGGAUUCUAUGUUCAGCUUCCGGGGAAAUGAUUCCCAGAUUGUGUUUACAGAAAGUGAUACAUCAGGUCUUACCUUCAAUGUCAUCUGUACAACAUCGUACACUACAAACUUUGAUUGUACUGGAAUGGGAUCAACUCCAUCACGGCCACAAAGUGUCAUUGACAGAUGUGCGAAUGCCGCCCAGGCAAUAUCUACCACUGUCUCUGUCACUGUUCAAGCGCAAUGUCCUACUCUCACUGACAGCAAGUUCAAUUACAAGCCUGUUGCCAGUUUCAACACACUACCAGGUACCACAGUAUCCAUCGAAUGCAUAGAAGGUUUUCUGUCUAACAAUAGAAUGGAAAUAACCCAGUCUACAUGCCAGGGCAAUGGAAGGUGGCAACCAAGUCAACCAUUGUGU